rnacentral:rRNA from 1 species
UGUGUGUAGGGUUUGCACGUAGUACGGCGAGUGAAGCGGCAAGACUCAAAUUUGAAAGCUGGCCCCCUCGGCCCGCAUUGUAAUUUGCAGAGGAUGCUUCGGGAACGGCCCCCAUCUAAGUGCCCUGGAACGGGCCGUCAUAGAGGGUGAGAAUCCCGUCUGGGAUGGGGUGGCCGCGCCCGUGUGAAGCUCCUUCGACGAGUCGAGUUGUUUGGGAAUGCAGCUCUAAUUGGGUGGUAAAUUUCAUCUAAAGCUAAAUAUUGGCCGGAGACCGAUAGCGCACAAGUAGAGUGAUCGAAAGAUGAAAAGCACUUUGAAAAGAGAGUUAAACAGCACGUGAAAUUGUUGAAAGGGAAGCGCUUGCGACCAGACUCGCCCGCGGGGGUUCAGCCGGCACUCGUGCCGGUGUACUUCCCCGCGGGCGGGCCAGCGUCGGGUUUGGGCGGCCGGUCAAAGGCCUCUGGAAGGUAACGCCUCUCGGGGCGUCUUAUAGCCAGGGGUGCCAUGCGGCCUGCCCGGACCGAGGAACGCGCUUCGGCUCGGACGCUGGCAUAAUGGUCGGAAAGCGACCCGUCUUGAAACACGGAACCAAA